UUUUUAUGAUUCUGUUAUUUUAAAAUGGCCCUCCAGCCACACAUGGCAGUGUCCACCUGUAAUCCCUAUAACUGGGAGACUGAGAGAGGAGGAUUGUGAGUUAGAAAUCCCCUGGGAUACAUGGUAAGUUCCAGGCUAGCCUGAGGUACAGACUCACCUGCCUCAAAAUCCAAAGAUCUUACACUGUAAUAAUUAAGUGCUGGCUAGUUCCAAUGAAGAACAAAGUUGUGAUGUUAUACAGUGAACAAGAAGGACGUGGUGUGUUGUACUCACAAAGUGUGUGUGUGUGUGUUAUGGUUAUAUUGGCAUUGCAUAUAGUGCAACCAUUAUGAUUUCGAUUUAACUAAUCAAUUUCCAUGGAAUAAGGCAUCAAGGAUGAGCACUCAUAGAGUGGAAGCCUGGUGAGCAGAUAGGACUGCAAUCAGAGGCUCCUAGUAACCCACCCCAGCAAAGCUCAGUGAUGUUAGUAGUUCAGCAUUGACGGUGACUUCACAGAUAGUUAGUAUUUGAAUUCUACUAUCAGUAAUAGGAAUUAUUACUACUAUAAUUAAUAGUAAUAGUAACUACUACUAUAGUCAUCAUGAGAACUGACAGUUUUAAAUUUUUAUUUUGAAAAUAUUUUGCCCUUUUAAUUUUUUCCCACCUUGGAGAAAUGUCUAUUAAUGGAAAUAUAGUCCUGAGGGGAGGAAGUAAUGUGCUUUCAUACUCUGGUAUUUUUAAUAAGCAGAAAGUAUCACAUACGCAGUAAGAUAUGUUAACAGAGAG
rnacentral:lncRNA from 1 species